UACUGGAAACGGUAGCUAAUACCGCAUAACGUCGCAAGACCAAAGAGGGGGACCUUCGGGCCUCUUGCCAUCGGAUGUGCCCAGAUGGGAUUAGCUUGUUGGUGGGGUAACGGCUCACCAAGGCGACGAUCCCUAGCUGGUCUGAGAGGAUGACCAGCCACACUGGAACUGAGACACGGUCCAGACUCCUACGGGAGGCAGCAGUGGGGAAUAUUGCACAAUGGGCGCAAGCCUGAUGCAGCCAUGCCGCGUGUAUGAAGAAGGCCUUCGGGUUGUAAAGUACUUUCAGCGGGGAGGAAGGGAGUAAAGUUAAUACCUUUGCUCAUUGACGUUACCCGCAGAAGAAGCACCGGCUAACUCCGUGCCAGCAGCCGCGGUAAUACGGAGGGUGCAAGCGUUAAUCGGAAUUACUGGGCGUAAAGCGCACGCAGGCGGUUUGUUAAGUCAGAUGUGAAAUCCCCGGGCUCAACCUGGGAACUGCAUCUGAUACUGGCAAGCUUGAGUCUCGUAGAGGGGGGUAGAAUUCCAGGUGUAGCGGUGAAAUGCGUAGAGAUCUGGAGGAAUACCGGUGGCGAAGGCGGCCCCCUGGACGAAGACUGACGCUCAGGUGCGAAAGCGUGGGGAGCAAACAGGAUUAGAUACCCUGGUAGUCCACGCCGUAAACGAUGUCGACUUGGAGGUUGUGCCCUUGAGGCGUGGCUUCCGGAGCUAACGCGUUAAGUCGACCGCCUGGGGAGUACGGCCGCAAGGUUAAAACUCAAAUGAAUUGACGGGGGCCCGCACAAGCGGUGGAGCAUGUGGUUUAAUUCGAUGCAACGCGAAGAACCUUACCUGGUCUUGACAUCCACGGAAGUUUUCAGAGAUGAGAAUGUGCCUUCGGGAACCGUGAGACAGGUGCUGCAUGGCUGUCGUCAGCUCGUGUUGUGAAAUGUUGGGUUAAGUCCCGCAACGAGCGCAACCCUUAUCCUUUGUUGCCAGCGGUCCGGCCGGGAACUCAAAGGAGACUGCCAGUGAUAAACUGGAGGAAGGUGGGGAUGACGUCAAGUCAUCAUGGCCCUUACGACCAGGGCUACACACGUGCUACAAUGGCGCAUACAAAGAGAAGCGACCUCGCGAGAGCAAGCGGACCUCAUAAAGUGCGUCGUAGUCCGGAUUGGAGUCUGCAACUCGACUCCAUGAAGUCGGAAUCGCUAGUAAUCGUGGAUCAGAAUGCCACGGUGAAUACGUUCCCGGGCCUUGUACACACCGCCCGUCACACCAUGGGAGUGGGUUGCAAAAGAAGUAGGUAGCUUAACCUUCGGGAGGGCGCUUACCACUUUGUGAUUCAUGACUGGGGUGAAGUCGUAACAAGGUAACCGUAGGGGAACCUGCGGUUGGAUCACCUCCUUACCUUAAAGAAGC
rnacentral:rRNA from 1 species